GAUUGACUCCUGUCUGUGAAGAAGUAAGUGUUGGCAGUACAUUAAUACAUCCUAGAAACAUCCAGAUCACUUGAGAUUUAUUUGAGGGUUUCUAUUUUUUGUGAGUUUGAAGAGCCAAAAUUCUUUUGCUUGAUUACAAAUGCAGCUUUAUCAUCUUCUAUUUUAUGCGUACUUAUUGCAUGAUAAGGUUGCAUGGAUGGUAUAUGGAAUGGGUCUCAUUGAAAACCUUGGCUUUUCUGCACUUUAACCUGCUGUUCUUAAGUAGUAGAUGCAAACCAGCUACCUAUGAAGCUAGGAGCUUCUGGCCUCUUUUUUCUGACUUGUCGGACACUGGAUACAUCGGCUUGUGGAUUGAAAUCACAAAAAUUAGAUCUUGAUAUUGAUAUAUUAAUCCUUACUUUUUAAUAGUAAAAUUCUUAUGCCUAGGUAUUCUGAAUGUUAUGCCUGACAAAACCCAUUCGUGAUAAUCUCCCCUGUAGGUUAAUGAUUGAUUGCCAAAAUCACAACAGUGAUGGAUUUUAGACAAUUUAAUAAUAAUUUUUAUUAGAUUCUUCAGUCACAAACUCUUUCUUCUGUCUAUUGCAGUGCAUUAAUGAUAUAUGCAUAAUCUUUGAUUUUUUUCCUUUUCACCUAGAAUCACAAGUGAUAUCAUAUAGUUGUUACUGUGAGAUCCUUGUAACAUUUUUGUGUCAGGUGCAGAUGUAUUUUUGGAGUUUAAUGUAAAGUUUUAGUUUGCCGAAGAAAUUUCAUUAACAAUUUGAUAAAUGCAUUGCUGUUUCAUGGCUCGUAUUUUCCUUAUUUUGUGAUAUGUUGAAAACGUCAUCUAUUGAUUUCAUUGCUAUUCCUAAUAUUAAGAGGUCAGUAUUAUGGGGGUCCAUGGAAGGCUUAUUUAAAUUUGUUGAAAAGUGUGACUGACACCUGUUUAGUUCAACAAAAAAUCAGUGACUACUUGAAAUGCAAAUAUUAAUGUAAUGCUAAUAGAUUCUUUAAAAUUCAACUCAUUGGUAUAUUUGCUUGGAUGUUCAUACAGGCUAGGGUUAUUGGUAAGGCAAGU
rnacentral:misc_RNA from 1 species